ACCUGCCCUAUGAUUAAAAAUUAAAUGGCUGCGGUAUUUUGACCGUGCAAAGGUAGCAUAAUCAUUAGUUUUUUAAUUGGGAACUGGUAUGAAAGGUCGAACGAAAAAGAGACUGUCUCAAUUUAAUUUAAAUUAGAAUUUUAUUUUUAAGUAAAAAAGCUUAAAUAUAUUUAAAAGACGAGAAGACCCUAUAGAGUUUUAUAUCUAGGUAUUUAUAUAGGAAAUUAAAGGAUUGUUUUUUUUUUAUAAUUAUUGAAGUAUUUGGUUGGGGCGAUUAAAAAAUUUAAUAAACUUUUUUUAAAUUAUAACAUUGAUUUAUGAAUAAGUGAUCCAUAUUUAAUGAUUAGAAGAUUA
rnacentral:rRNA from 1 species